rnacentral:rRNA from 1 species
UACAGAGGGGGCAAGCGUUAUUCGGAAUUAUUGGGCGUAAAGGGCGCGUAGGCGGCUUUGCAAGUGGCGGGUGAAAGCCCUCGGCUUAACCGAGGAACUGCCUGUCAGACUGUGAGGCUUGAGACCGGGAGAGGUGAGUGGAAUUCCCAGUGUAGCGGUGAAAUGCGUAGAUAUCGGGAGGAACACCGGUGGCGAAGGCGGCGACCUGGGUCGAGGACUGACGCUGAGGCGCGAAAGCGUGGGGAGCAAAACAGG